UGAGGAGAUAAGUGACAUAAACUGGCAUGUUCUGAAAGAAUCACUCUGGAUGCUGUGUGGAGAAAACACUGAAAAGAAUUCUAGAGUGAAAGUUUCAUGAAUAUAAGAAGCAAGACAAGGAAGUGGCUUAUGCUUAAGGCCUUAAAGGCAACCACUGUGACAAUCCAGCCAUUCUCUGGAGAAUUCAGCAGAAAGCCAGUUGGAAGGUUUGAAAUGGAAAUUACAAGCGCAAUAUUACAGAAGUGUGGAUUUUAGUUACAAUGUCUCUAUGAGAAAGUCUAAAAGUUAAACAUAAGCAAAACAACAAAAACAUCUAAAUACCAGGAAUUUGUUAUCUCGAUUAUGGAGGGCGACAAGUCCCACAGUCUGCCAUCUGCAGGAUGGAGAACCAGGGGGAGAAUAAUUGACUCCAUUCAAGUGUUCGCUCCUGUUUCAAUCAACUAUGGCUGAAGAGUGAGGAGACAUUUGGAAUAAAUAUGGCUUCUGGGGGCCCAUUCCUAUGGAUCAGCAGCUGGCUUCUGGAGGCCCAUUCCUGUGAAUCGUCGAUCUCAUAGAAGAUAAUAUUGUUAGAAGGCUUACCUCAUUGAUGCUGAACAUCCUAAAAAGCUUCUGCUGCUUUGAGUCACUGAAAAAGACCAAGAAACAUGAAUUUAAAAAAAAAUUUCAAAUGUUAUAAAAUAAAUAAUAUGAACUCAUUAUACCUACAA
rnacentral:lncRNA from 10 species